UUGAGGAGGUCCAUUGGAAAAUGGUGAAUUUUCAGACGUGAAUAAAGCCCAAAAAUUAACAGUGAAACAAUUAACGGUUACAAUCUUCUAAAACCUUCGGUCUUGCGGUAUUCAAUUCCAGUUACCACUUUGCUUCUCUCGUCCAUUUUUCUCAAUUAAUGGAUUCGGGCACCAUAACAGAGCUUGCCUAAACGUCCCCAUAGUCCACACAAGACGACCAAAGUUUAUGGAGCCGCGCUCUUUAUCAUAAGGAGUCACAUGGUGCACGAGUUCGUCGAAAACUACGUCAAAAAUGCACGAUUGGGUAUUGGUGGGAUUGUGGCUUACUUGCAGCAGCCAGAGAGUCCCUUGUUUCCAUCAAAAUCAAAUAGGUCUCUGGAUAGUACAAAAGGGGGAAUCAAAUGGGCCCGUGCUGCUCUCUUGCAAAUUGGGGUGCAAAAUGAACAGGAUCCCAAAUUGUUUUCUUUUACUUUGGCGGCAACCCGUGAGGCUUUCUCUGACUUUGGAUCAAUUACCAUGCCCAAUGACGAAGAAGAUAGUACUCUCUCCAAGGACAGUGCCACGCACAUAGGCCACAGCGUCAAAACGGCAGAGCGACAUUGACAAGGGAAUGUAUAAACUGAUGCAUAUGAAAUGAUCCUAAAAUAGAGCGAUUGAUUUGAUACGAGCACAAGGAUGUCCAAGAGAGUCUACCAGCUCCUAUUUGGAAACAUGGAAGAUCCAGCUGCAGAUGUGGAAAAUUAUGAGGAAGAGGCUUCCUCUGAAUCUGGCCCUGACUUACAUUACAAAUUUUUCUAAAAUCAAUUUUUGAUCAAACUAAGUUAUUGCAUGAAAAUUACUGAAAUUGAAUAAUUUUUGAUACUAUGUUGGUAUCAUCUUUUAAGCAGUCGGAAU